GUUUCUCUUAACGUCUACGCGUUUGGAAUUCCUUCAUAUAAGGCGUCUGUUGGCAAAGAUGAAUUACCAAAGUUGAUAAAUGUUAAGGUAGCGAUGCUUAUCUGUCUCAUAUCUGCUGGCGUUCAAACAUUGAAAGAAAUCGGUCAGUUAUUCGUUUACAAAUUCAAUUAUUUUAUGGACAAAGUCAACUAUUUGGAAUGUGUUCUCUACGUAUCAACAUUCAUCUUUGCUGUACCAAGUAACGACAGUAUGUCUGUAAAGACAAGUUUUCAAUGGAUGGCCUGUUCUGUAGCGUUAUUCUGUGCUUGGAUAAAUCUUAUUAUGUAUCUAAGAAGGUUUGCCUCCUACGGUAUAAUUAUUCUCAUGAUG